CCAAUCGUGGGACAGAUCUGUGGAGGCCGGACUUCCUGCUCUAUCAAUGCCUUAGCAGUCCCGGUUCCGCCUCCGCCGGGAGCUGGGCCAGAAGAUGGCGGCGGCCGCUGAGCUGAAGCUGCUGGAGAAGUCUUUGGGGCUGAGGCCGGGGAAUAAGUACAGCGCUCAGGGCGAGCGACAGGUUCCAGUUCUACAAACAAACAAUGGCCCAAGUCUAAUGGGAUUGGCUACCAUCGCAACCCAUCUAGUCAAGCAAGCCAAUAAAGAGCACUUGCUAGGGAGCACCGCAGAAGAAAAGGCAGUCGUUCAGCAGUGGUUAGAGUACAGGAUCACUCGAGUGGAUGGACACUCCAGGAAAGAAGAUACCCACAGCCUGCUGAAGGAUCUUAAUUCCUAUCUUGAAGAUAAAGUCUACCUCGCAGGAUAUCACUUUACCUUGGCAGAUAUCCUUCUGUACUACGGGCUCCACCGCUUCAUAGUUGACCUGACAGUUCAAGAAAAGGAGAAAUACCUUAAUGUGUCUCGCUGGUUUUGUCACAUUCAGCAUUACCCAGACAUCAGGCAACAUCUGUCUAGUGUUGUCUUCAUCAAGAACAAACUCUAUGCUAACUCCCACUAGAAGCCUCUGCAUGCAGCAGCAGCAGUAGAAAAGUAAUGGAAGAUGUAUUUUGGACCAUGCAUUUGAACCCCAUCUGUUGGAUUAAACAACUCAGCAUAGCAGUGCCCCUUAUCCAUUGAGGAUACGUUCUGACACCUCAAGUGGAUGCCUGGAACCCUAGGAAGCAGAAAGAGAGCAGGAAGUGAGAUGCGUCUAUAAAUACACACACGCAUACCUCGUGCCAGUGCUUACCCAAAUCAGUGACAUACUUCUUCAACAAGGCUACACUCCCUAAAGACUGCAUAACCUUCCCAAACGACAUCACCAACUGGGGACAAGUGUUCAAAUACACAAGCCUAUAGGGGCACCCAAAUCAUCACAGGCACAGAAAUAAUAAAGUAUUGAUGAGAAGAACAGGAAGGAGAAACUGGUCCAAUAGGGCAGGGAUCCCAAAGCAAUGCUAAGAAUGUCCUUGCUGGAGGGCAAGAAUGCUGGAAGAAAGCUCUGGUUCCUGGUUCUUUGCUAUCUCUGACCCUUUCCUGGAAGCUAUACUUGAGGACCCAAAUGAAACUGAGUAGAGACACCUGGAUAACUCAGUUGGGCCAACAGUACUGACCAACCCAUCCCCAUCCCAUGCUUCACCUCCAUUUCUACUAUAAAUCCUUUCAAACCCCACUAGACUAUCAGCUCAGUGUUACUCUGUUUCUUGGGACCCCUCCUGUUAUGUAGGAGCUCCCUUCUCCUUCCCUCUCUGC